rnacentral:rRNA from 1 species
GGGGGGGGGGGGCGGGGGGGGGGGGGCGGGGGGGGCGAGCGGACGGGCGGGGGGCGUGCUGCGCUGGUGUUAGCGGCGGACGGGGGAGUGACACGUGGGUCACCUACCUAUAGUGCUGGGAUAACUUCGGGAAACCGGAGCUACUACCGGAUAAUAUUUUGAACCGCCUGGUUCCCAACUGACAGACGCUCUUUCUGUCACUUAUAGAUGUGUCCGCGCUGCCUGAGCUAGUUGGUAAGGUAACGGCUUCCCACGGCAACGAUGGAUCGCCGACCUGAGAGGGUGAUCGGCCAGACGGGAACUGAGACACGGUCGAGACUCCUACGGGAGGCAGCAGUAGGGAAUCUUCCGAAAUGGGCGAAAGCCUGACGGAGCAACGCCGCGUGAGUGAUGAAGGUCUUCGGAUCGUAAAACUCUGUUAUUAGGGAAGAACAUAUGUGUAAGUAACUGUGCACAUCUUGACGGUACCUAAGCAGAAAGCCACGGCUAACUACGUG